GAGCGGAGGGGUGGGGCAGAGAGAAGGAGAGAGAGGAUCCCAAGCAGGCUCUGUGCUGAUGCAGGGCUUGAACCCAUGAACUGUGAGAUCAUGACCUGAGCCAAAACCAAGAGUCCAACGCUUAACCGACUGAGCCACCCAGGCACCUCUGGAGUGGGCACUCUAAAGGAGGAAACCCACGUUUGGGCCCAAUGAAGUAAGGAAUCAGCCUAGGAGUGCAUGGCAACAUAGCAAAGUCUUAGAAGGGUCUUUGGGAUCAGAGAAAGCUUAAUUCAGAUCUCAAUUUAUUACUUGCCACCUGGGUGACCCAACAUAUAUUACUUAAUCUUUCUAACCUCUUACCUCAUCUGUAAAUUGACAUAAAUAAUACCUACCUCAAAGUGCUGUGGUGUGGAUGACAUUACAAAAUGCAGGUGAAUUUCCCAAGCACGGUACCUGCCUCCUGGCUGUUGCCACCUGCCCCUUCCUUAGUGUGUGCUCCUCGUGGUGAGGACAGGGCUUCCCUCUCUUAGGUUUUGUUGAAUCUGCAAAAAGAGGAGGAGAGCUAAGGAUUAUCAGCAAGUUCCACACUGCAUUCUAAAGGCUGGUUUCAUGGUGACUGUAGAGUAGGGAACAGCAUUUAAAUCGCACAUUUGUAUUCGCCUCUCCCCGAAUAUGGCAAAGCAGGAAAUACUGUGUGCCAUAUAAUUCAUAAAAUGCACUGUCACUUUGCAGCCAAGAACGUGGGAUGUCAAACAGAUAGGAAUGCCAGGCUGUACGCUCCUGUCAGACCUGGAGGGAACAGAGCUCAGGAGAAAGGGGAAUUUGCUGGGGGUGGAGGGAACAGGAGAAAAUAAUGGGAACUCUCUUCUCUCUUCUGCUCUGACAAGUUUGGAUUUUAAAUGAUUUGGGGGCAGAGUUCACAUCUAUUACCUCCCUUUUUAUAGUUUCUAGAAGAUUAUUGAAUAAUAUUAGCCGUAUUUGGUGAUUACAGUGAAGAAAUGUCACGUAGGGCCUCCGAGAAGCCCUCUGUCUCUGAGAGUGGCCAGGACGACUUUUUGCCGGAAGCCUCUGUCUUCUCUCCCGGGGAAGCGAUGGAUGGAGUCUGAUCAUAAUUAAUUUUAAUAGAGACCUAUCGUGAUGCGAUAGAAUCUUGGCCAUUCAAAUGAAGCAGAGCCAGCUGGCCAGCUUGGACGAAAAUCAUCUCAGUUCUCCCUCACCACUGGCUUUAGAACGAAUCAAGUCCAGUUGGAAAGUAUUUCUUUCUUGAGGGAUUUGGAGCCUCGCACUAUAAAGAGGCAUAUGACGUUCGCCAUCUGAAUUGGACAGGUAUGAAACAUGAUAAAAAAAAUAAUAGCUACCGUCUGUUGAGCCCCUGACUUGUGCCGUGCAUCGAGUUACAUGCUCAGGGUACAUUAUCUCUAAUUCAUGACUUCUUUCCACAAAUGUUUCUUGAGUGCCUUAUGUGUCAGGCUUUCUAGUUGCUGGGAAUACCACAGGUCACCGGGAAGAGGAAGUCUCUGCCUUUGGGGAACCACAUUCUUGUGGUUACAAGCAAGUGAGUAUAUAGUAUCAUUUCGGGUGAUGGUAAGUGUUAUGAGGAACAGUAGAGCAGGGUAAAGACACAAAGCAGGAUUCUGGUGUGUGUGUGGGGGAGGGCAUUUUAUUUUAUUUUUUAAUAUUUAAAAAAAAGGUUUAUUUAUUUUUGAGAGAGAGAGGGAGAGAGCAAGAGAGCGUGAGUGGGGGAGGGGCAGAGAGAGAGAGAGAGGAGACAGAGGAUCUCAAGCAGGCUCUGCGCUGACAGCAGAGAGCCCGACGCAGGGCUGGAACUCACGACCCGUGAGAUCAUGACCCGAGCCGCAGUCAUACGCUUAACCAACUGAACCACCCAGGCUCCUCUUUAAAAUUGUAUUUCUAGAUAGUCUCUAGACUGAAUGUGGGUCGCAAACUUGUAAGCCCAAGCUCAAGAGUCACGUGCCUACCACUGAGCCGGCCAGGGGCCCCUGUAGGGGACAUUUUAGGGCAGGCCUCUCCAGAAGGAUGGAGAGGGGACCCACAAGGUACGCAACUACCAGAGGAGGAGUGCCCCCAGGCAGAGAGAACAGCAAGAGAGACAGGCCGGUAUGAACCAUGUAGGGCCUUGAAGGGAAAAGAUCAGCUUUUCAGAUUUCAUUCUGAGGACAAUGGGAAGCUCUCCGGAAAUCAGGAGCUGGGGAGAGUUCUCUGGAAAGGGACUCUGAGCUGCAGAUCCGCCCACAGAAGCAGUUCUCUCUCGGUUGUGAGCAUGUGAGAGAAGCAGGACAGGGGAGAUCACAAAGAUCUCAGCUGACCCGCCGGAGGCUCUAAGGCUGGAAUGACCCUUCAGAGUUUUCCCAGAUUGCGGCAAAGGGCUGGACCUUGUAAGCUGGCCUCAACCAAUUGAUGUCUCCUGACAGGGGUUUCAAAUCCGGGCAAGGCAGCCCCCUUCGGGGCUGACACCUGAGAGGUUUGCCGCUCUGGGCCACUGGCUGCCAACACCCCAGCCACUGGGGCCAUGACACUGCAGUCCCCAAAAGCGUACCUGGGUGGCACAUCCCCAGCACCCUCUAUAGAUCCCUUCAUGUUUUAAUGUUUUAAUUCUCUCAACACCCCUCCAAGCUAAGCGUUCUUUUUUUUUUUUUUUUUAAUGUUUAUUUAGUUUUGAGAGACAGAGAGAGAGAAGUGAGCAGGGGAGGGGCAGCGAGAGAGGGAGACACAGAAUCCGAAGCGGGCCCCGGGCUCUGAGCCAUCAGCACAGAGCCCGACGUGGGGCUCGAAUCCUUGAACCGUGAGAUCAUGACCUGAGCCGAAGUUGGAUGCCCAACUGACUGAACCACCCAGGCGCCCCCAACUUAAGCAUUCUUAUUUCGUCUCGGAGACUGAGAGAGCAACCUGUUGAAGGUCACAUACCUACCAGAUGUUGGAUUUGAACUUAGGUCUGAGUCCAAAGACCAGGUACUUAAAAAAAAAACUGGUAAAAGACGCACACCGCACAACUCAUCAUUUUCGCUAUCUUUAAGUGAACAGCUCAGCAACAAGUACAUUCACACUGUUGAUCAGCCAUGACCACCGUCCAUCUCUAAGAGCUUCUUUGAUCUUGCAGAACUGAAUCUCUGUGCCCAUUAAACGAUAACAUAACAAUAACAUUGAUAUUAAACACACACUCCCCAUUCCUCUCUCCCUCCAGCCCCUGGAAACCAUCCUUCUACUUUCUGUCUCUAUGAAUUUGACAGCUCUGGUGUCCUUUUGUGCCUGACUUAUUUCACUUAGCAUAAUGGCCUCGAGGUUCAUCCAUGUUGCAGCAGGGGUCAGAGUUUCCUUCUUUUUAAAGGCUGAAUAAUAGUCCAUUUUGUGUAUGUACCAUGUUUUGUCUGUUCUUCUGUUGAUGGGCGUAUGGCUUGGUUCUCCCCUUUGGCUCUUGUGAAUAACACUGUGAACACUGGUGUACAAA